CAUUCACGGAGAGUUUGAUCCUGGCUCAGGACGAACGCUGGCGGCGUGCUUAACACAUGCAAGUCGAACGAUGAACCUCCUUCGGGAGGGGAUUAGUGGCGAACGGGUGAGUAACACGUGGGCAAUCUGCCCUGCACUCUGGGACAAGCCCUGGAAACGGGGUCUAAUACCGGAUACUGACCCGCUUGGGCAUCCAAGCGGUUCGAAAGCUC
rnacentral:rRNA from 1 species